UUUAACUUUACAUGCUUGAUAAAAGAAAAUGGUGUAGUGGGCAUAUAUAAGAUGUCAAUCAAAAUCUUAAACCAUGCAAAAUACUUCUGGUACAAAAAAUUCUACUUUGUUCAAAUCAACCUGCAUAUUUAAGAAACAACAAUUAUAUUCUUUUUCGGAGACAAACAUAUAUUAGCUGAUAAUACUAAUAGAUAUUAGUGAUGAUUAUCAUAACACCUUCCAUGUGCAUAUUAUCCAUAUGUUAUAACGGCC
rnacentral:lncRNA from 1 species